ACUUUCCCCUCUCCCUCACUCGCUCUCUUCUCCCCAACGCGAACCCGACGCCAUCAUCGCCACGGCCGACCUUGCCGGCGUGCUCCUCGUCGUCCUAGACGGCAAGGAGCUUGUCCAAAAGCUUCGUCUGCUUCUGAUGCUUCCACUACGAGGAUCGGUUCGAGCCGGGCGCCUCUACAUCGCGGGGAUCGAGCCCAUCUUCAACCUCUGUUAGCCACCGUUCGACGCGUCGAUCCGCGCAUCUCCGACAGCCCCCGGCCUCGCCGAGCCCUCCCCAAGAUCCGCUUAGACCCCGAGGCCGAUGAUGCCCUGGUGAUUGACUACGUCGACGACGACACUUCUUCCUUUUCAGCAGAGCUUCCAGUGACAAGAGAUCCGAUGGCCGCCGCAGCAGCUGCUCCGGUGAUGAAGCCGGCGACAAUCAACACCAACACCAUAGCACCGUGCUGCCCAUCUGGUGGACGCGUUACUUCGGCAAGCACAACAACUCCAAUCUGUACAACAGUCCUGCCGACGGAGAAGGUGACAUCCAUCAGCGUGAGGGCUUCCGCGGCCUGGAUGAUGACGCCAUCAUCGGGCGAAUGCUCUACCAUGGGCUUGAUGACAACUUUGAUUGAGAGAGAUCGGCCGAACACGAGGUUGGCCAGAGUGACGGCAAAAUAGACGUGCACAUCCAUGGGGGUUGGUUACAAAGAAGAAACCUAUAGGCCCGAGGUGCAAUGGUAAAGUGGGUUACGGUGAAAAGUGCCAUAUAUAUGGACCAGCUGCGUAAUUUUUCUCUCUCCAUUGUUUUGAUUAUUUAUGGUGUAUUUAUAGAGAGCUCAGCAGCCAGCUAUCACGCUUUGCCACCUUGGUUCGGUGGCUCCAAGGGUGGGUGUGGUGUUUCAUUUGUAUUGAUUGCGCGCG
rnacentral:rRNA from 1 species